rnacentral:rRNA from 1 species
UGCGUAGGUGGUCUUGUAAGUCAGAAGUGAAAGGCUACGGCUUAACCGUAGUAAGCCUUUGAAACUGCAGGACUUGAGUGCAGGAGAGGAAAGUGGAAUUCCUAGUGUAGCGGUGAAAUGCGUAGAUAUUAGGAGGAACACCAGUGGCGAAGGCGACUUUCUGGACUGUUACUGACACUGAGGCACGAAAGCGUGGGGAGCGAACA